AGGGCAUCAAUCCAGAGCUGCGCAUGCGCAGUGUGCUUCACGUACUUCAUGCUGCUUCUGUUCCGCGUUUAAUCCGCUGCGAUGAUCUUUUAAUUACUGGAUAUUUCAAUAACAUGAGCAGCGUUUUUAAUGUAGACAGACUGAUUGUCUUUAUGUCAGUCCAGGAUGAGAGCGGCAGAUUAUCGACGCUUUGUUCAGCGCGCAGAAUUAAUGUGCAUCAAAUCAUAGCUUUUAUAAUCUUUCGAGGGAUUCUUCGACUGUAACUGUUAAGGUACUCUUUUUAUGAGGAACCAUAAACACUCAAAGUGUGCAACAGCAUUUAAUAAAGUCACCUAAAGAAUAAGAUCAGCAUGACCCUGGUGUUGACCCCUGCGGCUGUGUGCCAGUGCUUCACGCUCGUGUCCCUGUGCACGUCUAUCGCUGAUCCUAACUGGAUCCAGGUCCAGAACUGCUCUGAUUCGAGCAGCAGUCUCAUCUACGGUGUGGCCUUUACUCUACACGCCUAUCAGAAUCAGACAGACACAGCGUGAUGAACUGUAGUGAAGGGUUUUGUCUGGUUUUGCCUGCUGGAGGUCCGUUGGGUGGGCUGCACGGAUGGGGAAUGUGGCUGCUGUACUCUCUAGCUGCUCUCUGCUACAGCGCCGUCCUGGUUUCCAGUUCCUCGUUCCUGCUGGAUUUCCUCGGAGCAGCUGUCACUCACUCAAAGCUGGUGACGUCUUUGCACAUCUUGACAGCGGUCAUCGGCGUGACGGUUGUGUGUGUGUGUGUGGCCUGUAUGAGUGUGAUUGAGCACAAUCUGCAGCGAGCGAAGACAGAGAGGCUCUGCAUGUCUGCAGGAGAAAGCUUCUACAUCGAGGUGUUGGGCCUGCUCUUCUCCCUCAUAGCGUGCGCUUUGGCCCUCAAGGGUCGUCCUGUACCCAUCAGGCACUGUGAGUACCUGAGCGUGGAUGGAGCGGACGGAGACACGGAGCCUUUGAUUGGUGGAGCUGAGAGAGAGGAGUAAACACACAGGGUUACGCACUUCUCAUUACGUUACAUCUCGGAGCACGUACAGAAUCAGCUCCUUCUGGUUCAUUAUUGUGAAUCUGAAUUGAAUUGAUCACAGUAUACAGGAUCUCAACUAACAGGGAACGUUCUAAAAAUGUUCCGUUGAGGUUCCUUCAAUGUCAUGAACAAGCGUUCCUCCAGGAACAUUUAUAGAAUGUUUGUCGUUUACUAAUGUUCUCAAAACAUUAGCACAAAAGUGUUAUUUCUACAUCAUUUUCUGAA